AUGGCCAUGUCAUUUUGAAACACCAGUUCUCAUACGAUCACCAAAGUUAAGCAAUGUCGAGCCUGUUCAGUACCUAGAUGGGUGACCGC